rnacentral:rRNA from 1 species
AGUGAACGCUGGCGGUAGGCCUAACACAUGCAAGUCGAACGGCAGCACAGUAAGAUCUUGCUCUUACGGGUGGCGAGUGGCGGACGGGUGAGGAAUACAUCGUAAUCUACUUUUUCGUGGGGGAUAACGUAGGGAAACUUACGCUAAUACCGCAUACGACCUACGGGUGAAAGCAGGGGAUCUUCGGACCUUGCGCGAUUGAAUGCGCCGAUGUCGUAUUAGCUAGUUGGCGGGGUAAAGGCCCACCAAGGCGACGAUCCGUAGCUGGUCUGAGAGGAUGAUCAGCCACACUGGAACUGAGACACGCUCCAGACUCCUACGGGAGGCAGCAGUGGGGAAUAGUGGACAAUGGGCGCAAGCCUGAUCCAGCCAUACCGCGUGGGUGAAGAAGGCCUUCGGGUUGUAAAGCCCUUUUGUUGGGAAAGAAAAGCAGCAGGUUAAUACCCCGCUGUUCUGACGGUACCCAAAGAAUAAGCACCGGCUAACUUCGUG